rnacentral:rRNA from 1 species
CCUACGGGUGGCAGCAGUGAGGAAUAUUGGUCAAUGGGCGCGAGCCUGAACCAGCCAAGUAGCGUGAAGGAUGACUGCCCUACGUGUUGUAAACUUCUUUUAUAAAGGAAUAAAGUGCGGCACGUGUUCCUUUUGUUACGUCCUUUAUGAAUAAGGAUCGGCUAACUCCGUGCCAGCAGCCGCGGUAAUACGGAGGAUCCGAGCGUUAUCCGGAUUUCUUGGGUUUAAAGGGAGCGUAGAUGGGUUGUUAAGUCAGUUGUGAAAGUUUGCGGCUCAACCGUAAAAUUGCAAUUGAUACUGGCAGUCUUGAGUACAGUUGAGGUAGGCGGAAUUCGUGGUGUAGCGGUGAAAUGCGUAGAUAUCACGAAGAACUCCGAUUGCGAAGGCAGCUUACUAAACUGCCACUGACAUUGAUGCUCGAAAGUGUGGGGAUCAAACAGGAUUAGAUACCCUAGUAGUC